rnacentral:misc_RNA from 1 species
CUGCGAGUUCGCGGGAGAGUAAGUUAUUGCCAGGGUUUUUAUUUUAUACUUUAAACCUUGAAUUUAUUUUUUAAAUGUUUAUAUUAUUUGAAUAAAACAUUCAAAUAAUAUAAAAAAUAAUAUAUAUAUUGACAUGGAUUAAACAAAGAUAUAUAUUAUUUUAUGUUGUAUAAACAAAUUGGCAAAAUAGAGAUGGAAGAUAAAAAUAUGGUCAAAGUAAUAAGAGUCUAUGGUGGAUGCCUAGGA